GUCAAUAUAGUUUAAUAAAAACAUUAGGCUGUGGCUCUAAAAAUAGAAGACACUCACUUCUUAUUGACC
rnacentral:tRNA from 1 species